rnacentral:rRNA from 1 species
GACGAACGCUGGCGGCGUGCUUAACACAUGCAAGUCGAACGGAAAGGCCCUGCUUUUGUGGGGUGCUCGAGUGGCGAACGGGUGAGUAACAUGUGAGUAACCUGCCCUUGACAUUGGGAUAACUUCAGGAAACUGGGGCUAAUACCGGAUAGGAGCUCCUGCUGCAUGGUGGGGGUUGGAAAGUUUCGGCGGUUGGGGAUGGACUUGCGGCUUAUUAGCUUGUUGGUGGGGUAGUGGCUUACCAAGGCUUUGACGGGUAGCCGGCCUGAGAGGGUGACCGGCCACAUUGGGACUGAGGUACGGCCCAUACUCCUACGGGAGGGAGCAGUGGGGAAUAUUGCACAAUGGGCGGAAGCCUGAUGCAGCAACGCCGCGUGCGGGAUAACGGCCUUCGGGUUGUAAACCGCUUUCGCCUGUGACGAGGCGUGAGUGACGGUAAUAGGUAAAGAAGCACCGGCUAACUACGUG